GAUGAACGCUGGCGGCGUGCUUAACACAUGCAAGUCGAACGGAAAGGCUCCUGCUUGCAGGGGUACUCGAGUGGCGAACGGGUGAGUAACACGUGGGUGAUCUGCCCUGCACUUCGGGAUAAGCCUGGGAAACUGGGUCUAAUACCGGAUAGGACGAUGGUUUGGAUGCCAUUGUGGAAAGUUUUUUCGGUGUGGGAUGAGCUCGCGGCGUAUCAGCUUGUUGGUGGGGUAAUGGCCUACCAAGGGGUCGACGGGUAGCCGGCCUGGGAGGGUGUACGGCCACAAUGGGACUGAGAGACGGCCCAGACUGCUACGGGAGGCAGGAGUCGGGAAUUUUGCACAAUGGGGCCGAGCCUGAUGCAGCGACGCCGCGUUGGGGAUGACGGGCUUCGGGGUGUAAACUCCUUUCGCUAGGGACGAAGCGGUAGUGACGGUACCUGGAGAAAAAGCCCCGGCUAACUACGUG
rnacentral:rRNA from 1 species